UGUCGUUUCAAUUUCCAAUCCAUCAACUAUAAAGAGCAACGUUUCUGUUUACUUUCUUCAACCUUUCACUAUUGUAUCACUCAAUUUGCUUACAAAAUUUAUAACUAGAAAAAAUCUAGUUGCUCUCAAUCUCACACGCGUUAACCAGAAGGAGAUAUUAGAGUGGCUGGGGCCUGGGAUCUUGGUUCCGGUGAUGCGAUCAUAGUCUUCAACGAUGUUGGCUUGUUCUUCUUCUGACUUGACAGAGAUUAGAGUCUCGAAAAACUUGAGAUUGCUUCAUUAGAGUCUCGAUGAAGUGAAACGUUUCUCAAAAUGGUGAAGACAACCCGAGAUCCACAAUAUUAGCUCUAAUUGAUACAUCAUGCAAAAUCCCAUUAUCAAAUUGCAAGAACAGAAAGGAAUGAUGAGGAAGAUGAAGACUCUGUAAGAAUUAUUUGGGGUCACAGUGUAUUAAUCAAUGUGUUAGGGUCAUUAUUUAAUUAGUCAAGACUUAUGUGGUCACUUUGGUAUAAAGUAAAAGAUAUGGGGCAUAAGUGUUAUGGAAAAUUAAUGUGUGGAUACAUUUAGUAAUUUCUAAUUUGAUGAGGGGCCAAGUUAUAAAAAGAGGGUUAUGGUCCCCAAAGCAACUCUAACCAGAAAUAAAGAAAUUCUCUGCAUUCCCAGAGACCUAAACCUAUUCAGGGUGUGCUUUGGAAGACCUAAUCCCAAAUUCAGAUAUUAAGCUAUGGAUUCAUCAGGUAGAUCGCAUUGAAUUGAGCUUCUUUAGAGCACUGCUAGUAAAAUUGGGCUUUCAGGAGAAAUGAUAGGUUGGGUUAUGGAAUGCGUCUCUUACUAUUUUUUGAUGAACGGGUCGCCUCCUCGGAAAGUUUCCCCCACUAGAGGUCUUCGUCAAGGAGACCCACUCUCUCCAUAUCUCUUCAUCCUUUGUACCGAAGUUCUAUCCGGCCUUUGCUGUAAAGCACAAGAAAACGGUUCUCCCCGGCAUCAAAGUUGCAAAUGGAUCCCCCUUCCCCCAUAAAUCACUUAUUUUUUUGUGGAUGACACAAUGUUCUUUUGCCGCUCGGAUGGAAGGAGGUGUGAGACCCUUGUCUCCAAUUUAAAAAGUUAUGAGCUUGCUUCGGGUCAAAGUAUAAACUUUGGGAAGUCUUCCAUCACCUUCUCUUCAAAAACUCCCCGAGAAUCGAAGGAAAAAAGCAAAAAGACUCUUAAACAUUUUUAAAGAAGGUGGAGUUGGAAAAUACUUAGGCUUGCCCGAACAUUUUGGGAGGAAAAUGGUUAGUAUUACAACAUCUCAAAAGCUAUGGAUUGUUCUAGCCAUAACUGUGUGUGGCUUUUUCCAGUUUAUUUGAGUUAUAAAGAAAGUUGCAAACUACUAAGAAGAAAGAGAAAUCUAUGGCUGGGUAUUUGAAAGAUAUCAAAGGUGUUUGUGAACAACUAGCCUCUAUUGAUAGUUAGAUUAUUGAGAAAAUGAUAAGCUAGGAGGCAUGUGUGGUAGCUCAAAAGGAGAGAGGCUCGUGAAUAAGGAAAGAGAGCAGAGAAGGCACGUGAAACAGAGUUAAAACAGAGCAAGAAGAAACAGAUUUUUUAACCACUUGAGAGUCUAGUGAGUUGUAUAUAAAUAGAUAAAAGAGUAUUGAAGAAGUUAUGCAUGUAUUGAUGUGUGUAACAAACGUAUGGUUUGUUAGAGGAUAGUUAGGAAAUCUCUUGAACAAAUCUCCAUUGUUAGGGCUUGGAAACAUUGUAAUCGUUGAAGGAUAAGGAAUAAAGAAGAGUUUCAUAUCUCAAA